AUGAUGUGAGCAACUUUCCCGCAUCAGACCCUUCCACCAUGCUAAUUCUGUGCUGGUGCCUGCUAAUCAUGGACUGAGCCCAAGAAAACUAAAAUAUGAAAAAAAUGGAUUGGUGUAAAAAUGGGAACUCAGUGAGAAACUGGAGCCACAGGAGCACAAGGUGACAAUAUCCUGAGAAGAAACAGCAGCACUGGUAGCUGUCUUUGACUGAGCACUCCCAUGUUCCAGGAACUCUGAGAAGUUUGCAUGCACGUCAUUCCAUCCUCAUGACAGCCUGUGAGUAAACCUCAGAACGAGAAGGGUCAAAGAUAUUCUAAGUUGGAGCAGAUGUUUGAAGUCAGCUAGUUCAAUGCCUUCAUUUUACUGAUGAAGAGGCUGAAGAAUACAGACACUCUUCCGUGGCCACAAAAUGAGUUAUUUCAUCCAUCUACUGAAGGAAAUAUGUAUUGAACUCCUACCAUGUGUUAAGUAUAUGUUGUAUCUGAAC